UACGUAGGGGGCAAGCGUUGUCCGGAAUCAUUGGGCGUAAAGAGCGCGUAGGCGGCCCGAUAAGUCCGCUGUAAAAGUCCAGGGCUCAACCCUGGAAAGCCGGUGGAUACUGUCGGGCUAGAGUCCGGAAGAGGCGAGUGGAAUUCCUGGUGUAGCGGUGGAAUGCGCAGAUAUCAGGAGGAACACCGGUGGCGAAGGCGGGUCUCUGGGCCGUAACUGACGCUGAGGAGCGAAAGCAUGGGGAGCGAACAGG
rnacentral:rRNA from 1 species